GACGAACGCUGGCGGCGUGCCUAAUACAUGCGAGUAGAACGCACAGUUUAUACCGUAGCUUGCUACACCAUAAACUGUGAGUUGCGAACGGGUGAGUAACGCGUAGGUAACCUGCCUGGUAGCGGGGGAUAACUAUUGGAAACGAUAGCUAAUACCGCAUAAUAUUGAUUAUUGCAUGAUAAUUGAUUGAAAGCUGCUAUUGCAUCACUACCAGAUGGACCUGCGUUGUAUUAGCUAGUAGGUGAGGUAACGGCUCACCUAGGCGACGAUACAUAGCCGACCUGAGAGGGUGAUCGGCCACACUGGGACUGAGACACGGCCCAGACUCCUAAGGGAGGCAGCAGUAGGGAAUCUUCGGCAAUGGACGAAAGUCUGACCGAGCAACGCCGCGUGAGUGAAGAAGGUUUUCGGAUCGUAAAGCUCUGUUGUAAGAGAAGAACGGGUGUGAGAGUGGAAAGUUCACACUGUGACGGUAUCUUACCAGAAAGGGACGGCUAACUACGUG
rnacentral:rRNA from 1 species